UACGGAGGAUCCGAGCGUUAUCCGGAUUUAUUGGGUUUAAAGGGUGCGUAGGCGGCCUUUUAAGUCAGCGGUGAAAGUCUGUGGCUCAACCAUAGAAUUGCCGUUGAAACUGGCAGUCUUGAGUACAGUAGAGGUGGGCGGAAUGCGUGGUGUAGCGGUGAAAUGCAUAGAUAUCACGCAGAACUCCGAUUGCGAAGGCAGCAUACCGGCGCCCGACUGACGCUGAAGCACGAAAGCGUGGGUAUCGAACAGG
rnacentral:rRNA from 1 species